rnacentral:rRNA from 1 species
CCAACAGGGAUUGCCCUAGUAACGGCGAGUGAAGCGGCAACAGCUCAAAUUUGAAAUCGGUGUCCUUCUCGGGCAUCGAGUUGUAAUUUGGAGGGAUAACUUCGGUACGGACUACAUCGUAAGUUCCUUGGAACAGGACGUCAUAGAGGGUGAGAAUCCCGUGUCUUGGUGUUUGGCCGUGCCAUGUGAAGUGUCUCCGACGAGUCGAGUUGUUUGGGAAUGCAGCUCAAAAUGGGUGGUAAAUUUCAUCUAAAGCUAAAUAUUGGCGAGAGACCGAUAGCGCACAAGUAGAGUGAUCGAAAGAUGAAAAGCACUUUGAAAAGAGAGUUAAAAAGUACGUGAAAUUGUUGAAAGGGAAGCGCUUGCGACCAGACUCGAUCUUUGGUGAUCAGCCGGGCUUCGGUCCGGUGCCCUCACCAUUGAUUGGGCCAGCAUCGGUUCUGACGGCGGGACAAAAGGAGGAGGAAUGUGGCUCCCCUCGGGGAGUGUUAUAGCCUUCUUCACAAUGCCGCCAGUUGGGACCGAGGACCGCGCUUCGGCUAGGAUGCUGGCGUAAUGGUCUUAAGCGACCCGUCUUGAAACACGGACCAAGGAGUCUAACAUCUAUGCGAGUGUUCGGGUGGAAAACCCUUGCGCGUAAUGAAAGUGAACGGAGGUGUGAACCCUUUACCGGGUGCAACAUCGACCGGUCCUGAUGUCUUCGGAAGGAUCUGAGUAAGAGCAUAGCUGUUGGGACCCGAAAGAUGGUGAACUAUGCCUGAAUAGGGUGAAGCCAGAGGAAACUCUGGUGGAGGCUCGCAGCGGUUCUGACGUGCAAAUCGAUCGUCAAA